rnacentral:lncRNA from 1 species
CAAAACCUUAUGCAAAGUUGCAAGCCUUGCACCAUUUCCUUCUCUGACAACAUCCUGGAAGUAAGGAGAAGGAAGAAAUACUUAAGAAUUCACAUUGAGUAAUUGUGGAUCUUCAUCUGUGCUGGAAUCAUGUUCAACAGGAUCUUGGGAACUGGUCAAAAAGUAUAACAGAUGGGCUGCUGCAGAGAUAACAGUGACAUCCCAGGAAGACGAUCAGCCCUGAUACAAAAGUGCCAGUGGAGCUGUUCUCUUUUCUGGAUUUUGGUCCAACAGGAUCAUCUGAGACAGACCUGUGAAUACCGUUGGACAAAGGGUUUGGAUUUCUUUUAUGAUCUCCAAAAAAUUUAGCUUUCUCAAGCCAAGAUAUCCCCUUGAUCUAAGAAACAAGUUCAUCCCUCUUCUUGUCACUUCCACUAACUCUCUGUCAACUUGGUUCCUAAGACUUGACAGCAUCUCAGUUCCAGAAUCUGUCUUACUAGUGCUUGUUGUCUACAUAAAAUUUUUGUCCAGGAUCAUGUGAAAUGGCAUUUGUUCUUUCAGAUGUAGAGAGGGAAAGGUGCAUCUGGUGAGGCAUUUUUUCUUUUUAUGUUUAUUAGUUAAUUUUGCGACACAAAUCAUUCUUGAAAAAUUAUUUCAAGGCUUAAAACUGCCAUUUGAAAUGUAAACCAAGAAGGAGAGUGCUACUUUUACAGAAGAAUGAUUACUUUUAACCACAACUGUGUGUUUAGCUUACGAUUUAAAUGUUCACAAAAUUUCAGAACAAUAAUAUACUACUCAAUAGAGAUAUUCUGCAACCACAUGACUAAAAUACCUUAAAAAUGACAGUUACAAAACUUACCGAUUUAGGUAGGUUGCCAGCUUUAGAAUAAUAUUUUCCUGUUCUUUCAUAAUGCUAUAAUUCCACAAAAUGCCAUGCAUCUGUAAAAUAUUUUUAGUCAUUGCUCUUUAUAUUUGUAAGAAGUUGGAAUGUAGUGACACCGCUGCCUCCUUGCAACACGAUGUUCCUAUUUAAGUCUGCACAACAAAGUUGUGUUUGGAUAGCACACUGUUUUUUGUUGCCAUCUGAAUAGACAUCUUUUUAUUUUUAAUUGACAAUUACCUAUA